AUUCGCGUCGUUUGGGAAAGAAACCUAAAACCGUUCUCGGCAAGAUGUGGAAGCAUCUCCAACACAUUUAUUUCUCUGUUUUCAAGUUCUGACGAUGUCUGUAGCCUGUGCUAGAUCGAUAUUUAUUGCCACACCCUAGAAACUGAAUGCUGAAUCUGACCUCUCUCCGCGCGUGUGUCACGAAACGAAUCAAAACAUCACGCCACCAACACCGAUCCAAAUCCGACUGUUUGGACCUUACACAUAUGUACGCACCGAAUAGAAACGUAUAGCAGGCAAUAUAAGAGUGUGCUAAUUGUUGUCAGUCUACUACGUUAAGGUUACAUGUUUUAUCAAUGAAGAGAGCACUGAUGGACUAGUAUUGCACGAGUAGUAUUGCACGAUGUACACCGAAGGAGCUUUGCGCAAGAAGGAGAAAGGAAGAAAGAGAGAGAC